rnacentral:lncRNA from 1 species
CUGGGCAGCUUUGUCACCCACUAACUGGUUCUGGGUCCCAGAUUUGGAUUGGAUUUAGAAGAUCUGAUUCCAGGGAAGUGAUGUCGAGGUUUGGGAGGUCCUGGGUGGUGGAUGAAGAAAGGAGGAAGUUCAGAAGCCAUUAGCAACAGUGGUUCAGGCCCAUUUCAAGUCUCUAGCUUAGCCUACUGAGGAAUAACCAAGGCUAGAAUUCUAGACUAAAGGAGAGCCUACACUUCUGCCACUGUCACUAAUAGAGCUUUCCAGCUGGUGGAGGAGUCCAGCAACAAGUCUACUUGUUAGUCUUCUUGCUGAGACCUAAACUCAAGGUCCCUCAGUCCAGAAAGGCAUCACCCCGAGAAGUGCCCAUGUUUUUUUCCUGACUAAUAAAUGCCCAAGUGACAGCUGUACCACUUCACAUUUCAGACUUGGUGAGUUUUGUUCCUGGUCCUGUCCUUUGCCUAAUAGAGCUGAACCCUUCACAAAUGAGUGUUCCCUACUAGCAAAUGCCUUGGCUCUACUUUCAGAACCUGUGUGUGCAUUGAUUGCCUCAAUUGACAGAAUUUGAUUCAAGGUAGUGGACCGGCAGUCCUGCCACAGAAGAAGGUUGCUGGAGCCUUCAAGUGUUAUGACCUUCAUUAAUACUCUGUGCCCUGAAAUCACUUCAAAGUAAAAUAGCCCUGAAGAUUCCAGGGUCAAAUUCUCCUUGAAAUGCUAGAUGGAGAAGAAGGACAUCCUAGCAGAGAAGGGUUUAAUCAACAUAAAGAAAUCAAAAGCAUUACAAAAUAAAUAAAUAAAAAAUAAAAAGCUCUCA